GAUGAACGCUGGCGGCGUGCCUAAUACAUGCAAGUCGAGCGAAUGGAUUAAGAGCUUGCUCUUAUGAAGUUAGCGGCGGACGGGUGAGUAACACGUGGGUAACCUGCCCAUAAGACUGGGAUAACUCCGGGAAACCGGGGCUAAUACCGGAUAACAUUUUGAACCGCAUGGUUCGAAAUUGAAAGGCGGCUUCGGCUGUCACUUAUGGAUGGACCCGCGUCGCAUUAGCUAGUUGGUGAGGUAACGGAUCACCAAGGCAACGAUGCGUAGCCGACCUGGGAGGGUGAUCGGCCACCCUGGGACUGAGACACGGCCCAGACUCCUCAGGGAGGCAGCGGUAGGGAAUCUUCCGCAAUGGACGAAAGUCUGACGGAGCAACGCCGCGUGAGUGAUGAAGGCUUUCGGGUCGUAAAACUCUGUUGUUAGGGAAGAACAAGUGCUAGUUGAAUAAGCUGGCACCUUGACGGUACCUAACCAGAAAGCCACGGCUAACUACGUGCCAGCAGCCGCCGUAA
rnacentral:rRNA from 1 species